AAAAAAUCUCCAGACUCACUGGUGUCCUUAAAAAACCAGCUCUGGUUCUCGGCCUGUCUAGAGGGCUUUCAAUGACAGAAAGCCUGACCCUGCCGUGAACUUCGUGUUUCAGGUGUCUGCCGAUUGGUCUGCUGGCUUGCAGGGGUGGGCCUGUGUCCCUGGCCACCGCUGGACCUGUGGGUUUCAGGGCUGGGACCCAGGACUACAGGCAGAGUUCUGUUCCACCAGAGAGGGGACUGAGUGUGCUCACAGGGGUGAGGGGUUUUCGGUGGCCCAGCCAAACAGCACCUUCUCUCAAGGGCCCUGACCUCGUACCAGAAGUGGUUGUUUUCCUCCUGCGGUCUCUGAAGGACACAGGGCAUGGCUCUGGGACAGAGCCAUGUGGUGACGACUGUAACUGUAGUAUGCCUGUCUCCAACAACAGGGCUGUGGCUUGAAGGUCACCUUAAGAGGCACCCCUGUCCUUUGAUGUCACCCUGGAGGCCCAGAGUAACUCUUCUGGAAGCCCCAUCACAUCCAUGCCCGACAGUGUCCAUUGUUCCCUUUUCCCAGAGCCAAGAGCUGGGUAGAGCUGCAAGGACACCGCCUGCACAGGAUGCCCGGGGCUGGGCAUUACCUGCUGCAAUGACAACAUCUGGCUGGAAGGCAGAGAGCUGAUGGACCAUUGCUACGUCCCAGUCCAGCUGGGCCACUGUCACCCUGGGGCUGUCUAAGUUGCCAGUGAUGUCUGCCUCUAAUGAGAGGCCAUUGAGAAGGACAUUCCCUCGGAGCUGCUCGAGGACCCGGCUGUGAGGGUCGCUGAAGAUGUAUGCCCGGGGGCGGCACAUCUUGCAGAUGGCAAGGCCUGUGAGGCCGGCACCACUGCCAAGCUCUAGGACAGUCCUGGCGGGAGGAAAGGGGACCGUGUUUUCGACUGCACCAGGGUAAGCCUGCCUCGGUGCCCUGCCCUGUGCCCCAAGGUCACCUGUUAAUGAAGGCUGCCGGGUUCUCGAUGGCCCAUUCUGCAAGGUAGAGGGCGGCAUCCCAUGUGACCAGGCCUGUGGUACCGUGGGAGAUGAUGGCUGUGCUCUUGGAGAGUGUGACUGAGCCUCCUGAGGACUGCACCAAGAGAGGGCGAGAGAGUCAGUCCAGCGAUCAGAAGGCAAGUGGCUUAGAAGACAAGUAGCCAUCCACCACAUGGCUGAAUAAACCAUGACAGGACCAAUCGCCACUCAGCAAUGAGAAGCAGCUAACUGUUGACAUACCAACAGUUGCACGGGCCUCAAGGGUGUCACGCGGCAUGAAAGACACUCAUCUCAGGCCACACAGGAUUCCAUCUAUUGAACAUUCCUGAGACAACGGAAUUCUGGCGAUGGAGCACAGCUGUUGUUCCCCACCAGAACCAAAUGAGCGCAAGAUCUGACAAAGAAAAAAAAAGGUUCAUCUUUUAUUCCUCCAAACACUUUCAUUUAAAUCAAGAGGAUGGGAUGUGGUUAUUGCUGUGUUUUUAGACAGAAUCAACGGUUUCUGGGUCUGAGAUGUUGCAUACACCUUCUCAGUCCCUGUAUCCUGAGAUGGAGUCACCUGAGAAUCCACAGCAAGUCCUAACCAGGGAUGGGUCUGGGUGAUUAAGGAAGGUUGGCUUCAGAACUGGGCCAGGGGCACUGCUUUGCUUUUGCUGUUUUGAUCAGCUCUCUGCCUGAAGGAGACAAGAAAAACCAACGGGAACAGCCCAGUAAAGGCGCCAUUCCCCAUUUUACAGCUGGGGAAACUGAGUUACAGAGCUUGUCUGCACUGAGUCAUCAGGAGCAAAUGCUAGAUCAGAUAGGGUCUCUCUCUCUGCCACCCAGGCCAGAGUGCAGUUGACGC